rnacentral:rRNA from 1 species
AUUGAACGCUGGCGGCAGGCCUAACACAUGCAAGUCGAAUGGUAACAGGAAACAGCUUGCUGUUUCGCUGACGAGUGGCGGACGGGUGAGUAAUGUCUGGGAAACUGCCUGAUGGAGGGGGAUAACUACUGGAAACGGUAGCUAAUACCGCAUAACGUCGCAAGACCAAAGAGGGGGACCUUCGGGCCUCUUGCCAUCAGAUGUGCCCAGAUGGGAUUAGCUAGUAGGUGGGGUAACGGCUCACCUAGGCGACGAUCCCUAGCUGGUCUGAGAGGAUGACCAGCCACACUGGAACUGAGACACGGUCCAGACUCCUACGGGAGGCAGCAGUGGGGAAUAUUGCACAAUGGGCGCAAGCCUGAUGCAGCCAUGCCGCGUGUAUGAAGAAGGCCUUCGGGUUGUAAAGUACUUUCAGCGGGGAGGAAGGGAGUAAAGUGAAUACCUUUGCUCAUUGACGUUACCCGCAGAAGAAGCACCGGCUAACUCCGUG